AAACCAACAGGGAUUGCCUUAGUAACUGCGAGUGAAGCGGCAAGAGCUCAAAUUUGAAAUCUGGCACCUUCGGUGUCCGAGUUGUAAUUUGUAGAAGCAUCUUUUGGAUUGGUCCUUGCAUAUGUUCCUUGGAACAGGACAUCAUAGAGGGUGAGAAUCCCGUUCAUGGUGGGGAAUCCAAUUCUUUGUAAAGUGCUUUCGAAGAGUCGAGUUGUUUGGGAAUGCAGCUCUAAGUGGGUGGUAAAUUCCAUCUAAAGCUAAAUAUUGGCGAGAGACCGAUAGCGAACAAGUACAGUGAUGGAAAGAUGAAAAGAACUCCGAAAGGAGAGUGAAAAAGGACGUGAAAUUGUUGAAAGGGAAGUGCUUGAGAUCAGUCUUAAGGUUUAGUGAUCAGUCUUCCUUUUGGUUGGUGCACUCACUAUUUCUUAGGCCAACAUCAGUUUUGGCGGCAGGAUAAUGACAUUGGAAUGUGGCUCUUUCGGGAGUGUUAUAACCUUUGUUGAUACUGCCUGCUUAUACUGACGACUGCGCUUUUGCUAGGAUGUUGGCAUAAUGAUCUUAAGCAGC
rnacentral:rRNA from 1 species